UCUAAACAAAAACCCCAAAUCAAAAUCUUAGAUUUCAAAUUACCCUAAGAUUUUGGCAGUGUAUCAUUCAAAUUAGCUUUCUUGUCUGCAAAUAUACAGGCAAAAGGAAACUUAUACACACAAAAACAAUAAAAAUUCUUUCUUUUCUUGAAAAUCACAAAACCCAUCAAAGUUUGAGAAGAGAUUGAGGGGAAUAAUGAAGAUUUUUCACGGAAUUCAAAGAAUUGGAUCGUCUUUUCAUUUUUCUUGGAAUUAAUGUAACAAAAAUUGGAAAAAAUAAU